UACAGAGGUGGCAAGCGUUGUUCGGAAUUACUGGGCGUAAAGGGCGCGUAGGCGGCUUGGUCAGUCCCGUGUGAAAUCCCUCGGCUCAACUGAGGAACUGCACGGGAAACUGCCUGGCUUGAGUUCGGGAGAGGGAAGCGGAAUUCCGGGUGUAGCGGUGAAAUGCGUAGAUAUCAGGAAGAACACCCGUGGCGAAAGCGGCUCUCUAGAACGGUACUGACGCUGAGACGCGAAAGCGUGGGGAGCGAACAGG
rnacentral:rRNA from 1 species